UGGGGAAUAUUGCACAAUGGGGGAAACCCUGAUGCAGCAACGCCGCGUGCGGGAUGACGGCCUUCGGGUUGUAAACCGCUUUCAGCCAUGACGAAGCUUUUGUGACGGUAGUGGCAGAAGAAGCACCGGCUAACUACGUGCCAGCAGCCGCGGUGAUACGUAGGGUGCGAGCGUUGUCCGGAAUUAUUGGGCGUAAAGAGCUUGUAGGCGGUUUGUCGCGUCGAAAGUGUAAACUCAGUGCUUAACGCUGAGCCUGCUUUCGAUACGGGCUGACUAGAGGAAGGUAGGGGAGAAUGGAAUUCCCGGUGGAGCAGUGGAAUGCGCAGAUAUCGGGAGGAACACCAGUGGCGAAGGCGGUUCUCUGGACCUUUCCUGACGCUGAGAAGCGAAAGCGUGGGUAGCAAACAGG
rnacentral:rRNA from 1 species